UCCCUGGCAGUCCAUUGGUUAAGAUUCUGAGCUUCCACUGCAAGGGACCCAGGUUCGAUCCCUGGUCAGGGAA
rnacentral:tRNA from 1 species